ACUAACUAAAGAAGCCUAACAGUAAAUGGCAGCUGGUGUGUGUGUGUGACCCUGUUGCUCUGCUUCCUCCAGGGACACAGCCAACACGGUGAAGGAAAAGUUCGGGAGGAAGCUUUAUGAAUCCUUACUGGUUGGGAGCCUUCCCGACAUGAACAAGAUGCUGGAUAAGGAAGACUUCACUAUGAUGAAGAGAGCCAUCUUUGCAACGCAGCGGCAGUCUUUCCCCCCUGUGUGCACCCACAAUAUGCUGGAUGACUCCUCAGACCCCAUCCUGACCACCAUCCGCCGAAUCGGCCUCUUCAAUAGCAGUGCCGACAGGGUGAAGGUGAUUUUCCACCCGGAGUUCCUCUCCUCCACAAGCCCCCUGCUCCCUGUGGACUAUGAGGAGUUUGUCCGUGGCUGUCACCUUGGAGUCUUCCCCUCCUACUAUGAGCCUUGGGGCUACACGCCGGCUGAGUGCACGGUUAUGGGAAUCCCCAGUAUCUCCACCAAUCUCUCCGGCUUCGGCUGCUUCAUGGAGGAACACAUCGCA
rnacentral:sRNA from 1 species